AUUGAACGCUGGCGGCAGGCCUAACACAUGCAAGUCGAGCGGAUGAAGGGAGCUUGCUCCUGGAUACAGCGGCGGACGGGUGAGUAAUGCCUAGGAAUCUGCCUGGUAGUGGGGGAUAACGUCCGGAAACGGGCGCUAAUACCGCAUACGUCCUGAGGGAGAAAGUGGGGGAUCUUCGGACCUCACGCUAUCAGAUGAGCCUAGGUCGGAUUAGCUAGUUGGUGGGGUAAAGGCCUACCAGGGCGACGAUCCGUAACUGGUCUGAGAGGAUGAUCAGUCACACUGGAACUGAGACACGGUCCAGACUCCUACGGGAGGCAGCAGUGGGGAAUAUUGGACAAUGGGCGAAAGCCUGAUCCAGCCAUGCCGCGUGUGUGAAGAAGGUCUUCGGAUUGUAAAGCACUUUAAGUUGGGAGGAAGGGCAGUAAGUUAAUACCUUGCUGUCUUGACGUUACCAACAGAAUAAGCACCGGCUAACUUCGUG
rnacentral:rRNA from 1 species